rnacentral:rRNA from 1 species
AUUGAACGCUGGCGGCAGGCCUAACACAUGCAAGUCGAACGGUAACAGGAAGAAGCUUGCUUCUUUGCUGACGAGUGGCGGACGGGUGUGUAAUGUCUGGGAAACUGCCUGAUGGAGGGGGAUAACUACUGGAAACGGUAGCUAAUACCGCAUAACGUCGCAAGACCAAAGAGGGGGACCUUCGGGCCUCUUGCCAUCGGAUGUGCCCAGAUGGGAUUAGCUAGUAGGUGGGGUAACGGCUCACCUAGGCGACGAUCCCUAGCUGGUCUGAGAGGAUGACCAGCCACACUGGAACUGAGACACGGUCCAGACUCCUACGGGAGGCAGCAGUGGGGAAUAUUGCACAAUGGGCGAAAGCCUGAUGCAGCCAUGCCGCGUGUAUGAAGAAGGCCUUCGGGUUGUAAAGUACUUUCAGCGGGGAGGAAGGGAGUAAAGUUAAUACCUUUGCUCAUUGACGUUACCCGAAGAAGAAGCACCGGCUAAGUCCGUG